rnacentral:rRNA from 1 species
UACGGAAGGCAGCAGGGGGAAUAUUGCACAAUGGGCGAAAGCCUGAUGCAGCUAUGCCGCGUGUAUGAAGAAGGCCUUAGGGUUGUAAAGUACUUUCAUUGGGGAGGAAAAACAAAACUAAUAAUUUUAUUUCUUGACGUUACCCGAAAAAGAAGCACCGGCUAACUCCGUGCCAGCAGCCGCGGUAAUACGGAGGGUGCUAGCGUUAAUCAGAAUUACUGGGCGUAAAGAGCACGUAGGUGGUUUUUUUAAGUCAGAUGUGAAAUCCCUGGGCUUAACCUGGAACUGCAUUUUGAAACUGAAAUACUAGAGUAUCGUAGAGGGAGGUAGAAUUCUAGGUGUAGCGGUGAAAUGCGUAGAUAUCUGGAGGAAUACCUGUGGCGAAAGCGGCCUCCUAAACGAAUACUGACACUGAGGUGCGAAAGCGUGGGGAGCAAACAGGGAUUAGAUACC